rnacentral:rRNA from 1 species
GACGAACGCUGGCGGCGUGCUUAACACAUGCAAGUCGAACGGUGAACCUCUUCGGAGGGGAUCAGUGGCGAACGGGUGAGUAACACGUGGGCAACCUGCCCCCGGCUCUGGGAUAACUCCAAGAAAUUGGGGCUAAUACCGGAUGUUCACCGCUUCCCGCAUGGGUGGUGGUGCAAAGGGUUUCCGGCUGGGGAUGGGCCCGCGGCCUAUCAGCUUGUUGGUGGGGUAGUGGCCUACCAAGGCGACGACGGGUAGCCGGCCUGAGAGGGUGACCGGCCACACUGGGACUGCGACACGGCCCAGACUCCUACGGGAGGCAGCAGUGGGGAAUAUUGCGCAAUGGGCGGAAGCCUGACGCAGCGACGCCGCGUGGGGGAUGACGGCCUUCGGGUUGUAAACCUCUUUCAGCAGGGACGAAGCGCAAGUGACGGUACCUGCAGAAGAAGCACCGGCCAACUACGU